rnacentral:rRNA from 1 species
GACGAACGCUGGCGGCGUGCUUAACACAUGCAAGUCGAACGGAAAGGCCCUGCUUUUGUGGGGUGCUCGAGUGGCGAACGGGUGAGUAACACGUGAGUAACCUGCCCUUGACUUUGGGAUAACUUCAGGAAACUGGGGCUAAUACCGGAUAGGAGCUCCUGCUGCAUGGUGGGGGUUGGAAAGUUUCGGCGGGUGGGGAUGGACUCGCGGCUUAUCAGCUUGUUGGUGGGGGAGUGGCUUACCAAGGCUUUGACGGGUAGCCGGCCUGAGAGGGUGACCGGCCACAUUGGGACUGCGAGACGGCCCAGACUCCUACGGGAGGCAGCAGUGGGGAAUAUUGCACAAUGGGCGGAAGCCUGAUGCAGCAACGCCGCGUGCGUGAUGACGGUCUUCGGGUUGUAAACCGCUUUCGCCUGUGACGAAGCGUGAGUGACGGUAAUGGGUAAAGAAGCACCGGCUAACUACGUG